GAUGAAGAACGUAGCGAAAUGCGAUAAGUAAUGUGAAUUGCAGAAUUCAGUGAAUCAUCGAAUCUUUGAACGCACCUUGCACCCUUUGGCUAUUCCGAAGGGUAUGCCUGUUUGAGUAUCAUGAACACCUCAACUCUCAUGGUUUGCCAUGAUGAGCUUGGACUUUGGGGGUCUUGCUGGCCUGUGGUCAGCUCCUCUCCAAUGGAUUAGCUUGCCAGUGUUUGGUGGCAUCACAGGUGUGAUAACUAUCUACGCUUGUGGUUUUCCACCAGGUAACCUUCAGCAAUGGGGGUUCGCUGGGGCUCAUAAAUGUCUCUCCUCAGCGAGGACAGCUCUUUGAACGUUUGAUCUCAAAUCAGGUAGGACUACCCGCUGAACUUAAGCAUAUCAAUAAGCGGAGGA
rnacentral:misc_RNA from 1 species